GAAGAACCUUACCAGGACUUGACAUCCCUGGCUAGUCUCGGAAACGGGAUGUUCCCUUCGGGGACGAGGAGACAGGUGGUGCACGGUUGUGGUCAGCUCGUGUCGUGAGAUGUUGGGUUAAGUCCCGCAACGAGCGCAACCCUUAUCCUUAGUUGCCAGCGAUAAAGACGGGCACUCUAGGGAGACUGCCGGUGACAAACCGGAGGAAGGUGGGGAUGACGUCAAAUCAUCAUGCCCCUUAUGUCCUGGGCUACACACGUGCUACAAUGGGCGGUACAGAGGGAAGCGAAACCGCGAGGUGGAGCGAAUCCCAUAAAACCGGUCUCAGUUCAGAUCGCAGUGUGCAACUCGCCCGCG
rnacentral:rRNA from 1 species